GGGGUUGUGGCUCAGUGGUAGAGUGCUUGUCUAGCAUGUAUGAGGCACUGGGUUCGAUUCUCUCAGCACCA
rnacentral:tRNA from 1 species